rnacentral:lncRNA from 1 species
AACAAGUCAAAAUCACUUUAGUCGUAACAAAAUUCUUGCGCAAAACCGUGCAAGAAUUUCCAGGUUCCUCAGAUAUUUCCCUUGAAACAAUCUCUGAUGGAUUUGAUGAAGGGGGGAGGGCUAAGGUUGAGAGUUCAGAAGCAUACCUGACUCGGUUUCGUCUGGUCGGAACAGAAACUUUAUCAGAACUUGUGGAAAAGCACAAAACAGAUUGUGCUGUAGAUUGUAUAAUAUAUGAUCCAUUUCUUUCAUGGGGUCUUGAUGUAGCCAAGAAAUUUGGAUUAGUUUCUGCUGCAUUUUUCACUCAAUCUUGUGCUGUGGACAAUAUAUAUUAUCAUGUGUGUAAAAAGGAGUUGAAACUUCCUCUCUCAGAGACUGAAAAAAUUGUGAUUCCUGGAUUACCAGUACUGGAACCUUCAGAUUUGCCUUCUUUUGUUUAUGUUCAUGGAUCAUACCCUGCAGCUUUUGAAAUGAUUCUGAAUCAGUUUCAGAAUCUGGAGAAAGCAGACUGGAUUCUUGUUAAUACUUUUCACAAGUUGGAAGAAGAGGUAUAUAUCCAAUCAUUUCAUUUGUAGAUUUCAAUUUGUAGUCGACAUUAUUAAACAUAAUACCUCAUCAAAGGUUUCCAACUGCAGCAUGCCUCUUGAACAUAAUCCAACUCUAAUUUUGUAACUGUCUACUUCAAUGCUUUUAUGCUAGGUGAUUAAUUGGAUGGCGAAGUUUUUACCAGUGAAGGCAAUCGGCCCAACCGUACCUUCAAUGUAUUUAGACAAGAGGCUUCAAGAUGACAAAGAGUAUGGUCUUAGUAUCUUCAAGCCUAUCACUGAUGUCUGCAUGAAAUGGCUUAAUGAACGAGCAAGUAGAUCGGUUGUUUAUGUUUCGUUUGGAAGUUUGGCUGAAUUAGGAGCCGAGCAAAUGGAAGAAUUGGCACAGGGCUUAAAAUUAAGCAAUGAGUACUUCUUGUGGGUGGUUAGAUCAUCAGAAGAAGCUAAGCUUCCCAAUAAAUUUUCAGAGACGUCCAAGAAAGGACUAAUCGUGUCAUGGUGUCCACAGUUGGAAGUUUUUGCACACAAGGCGAUCGGGUGCUUCAUCACACAUUGUGGUUGGAAUUCCACAUUGGAGGCAUUAAGUUUGGGAGUUCCUAUGGUGGGAAUGCCUCAAUGGACUGACCAAAGCACAAACGCAAAGUUUGUUAAGAAUGUUUGGAAAGUGGGAGUCAAGGCUAGGCAAAACGAGAAAGGUAUAGUCGAGCAAACAGAGAUUAUCAGUUGCAUAAAGAAUAUCAUGGAGGGAGACAGCGCGGAAGAGAUCAGGAAAAAUGCGAAAAAAUGGAAGGAAUUUGCGAGAGAGGCAGUUGAUGAGGGAGGGAGUUCAGAUAAACACAUUGAAAAUUUUGUUUCUUCACUGAUUAAUCCUCCCACAAAAAUAAUUUGAUAGACCAUAGCAGCACUCCCAUUUCAUUUUGGUUGUGUAGUACUUAGCACUAUGAUGAACAAGAUUUUAGUUUAUUUUCCUUCUUUAAUACAGUCGACUAGUUUCCAGUCCUCUUUACAAACGAGGUCAUGGAUAAGUUAAACACGGUAGCAUGUUUGGUAUGUAGAAACUUUGUGGUUCCCAUAUGUUGUUGAAUUUAUUGGACACAAAUUCUUGUUCAGGACACUAGUAAAAUAUGAUAAUGAUAAUUGUCGAAGAGAUCUGAAGGACAUCCAUUGUUUACAAGACCCUCGAUUUUUGGUUAUUCUGUUUAUAUAGAAACUAAAACUUGCAUAGAACACUGUUAGGAUUUAAUUGUAUUGGCAAUUUUUUAGACCAAAGGACAAAUAUAAAAAGUUAUAAAAGUCAAGGAGUCAAUUGGGAUGUUGUAUAGAUGAAUUAGGAAUCUUAGCAUUCGAGUUGGAACGAGGAGGAAAGAUUUGUCGGAUUUACCCUCACCUAUUGCCUUUUCGAUGCUCGAGCAGAAAAAAUAGAAACAUUAUGCCCAGCUCUCGCUCGACCGACACACCGGUUGCUCGCUUGUCGCUAGCUUGGCGCUCAAGCGAUGGUGUUACGCGUAAAACAAAUAAUUCGUGUUUUUCAAGAAUUUUACCCUACCCAUGCUACUUAAAUAUUUUCUACUAUAUAUAUCCAAGCCAUAACACGUUUUGUUUGUAGUUGUUCAUUAUAUUACUUCCUCAUAAUAUCAUUCCAAGAUCUAACAACACGUUCUAGCAUUGAGAUUAAUCCUUUGAUUCUUGAGAUCAUUCAACGACAACUUUGGGAAAACAUCAAAUUCACAUAAUCCAAAGCACCAACUUCCUAUACACAUACGGAAAGUACUUUCUCAAUAACUUUCAAAGGUUGUCGAAGAUUGAGGGAGGUUGGACCAGAAGAACAAGAAGAGUACAAAAAAGUUGUUCUUGAUGAUCCACAGGAAAUUGGAAAUUUCAGAAGAUUAAGAACAGGGGUGAGUACAACACGUUCCAGCAGACUUGAAGAUUGUAGAAAUUAGAUUAGCGAGUCUAAUGGAUUUUCUAAGUUGGAUCAUAUUGUAAGUUCACAUUAUUUACUGGCUUGAUUUCAAAGUUUUUACCCAGUUGGAUUUUCUCUAUCAACAUAUUUUAUGUUGUUUAUUGCUUUCAUGUUAUUGAUUGUGGUAUUCAAACCAUAUGAUAAUCUGACACGACUGAUUAACCAUCUAGAAACAAUUAAAAAGUGAUUUGUUGCUUUUAAUUGUAUAAUUCCACAUGUUUGUCAAAAUAAAUUGAUUAAAUAUAAACUUUCAAGUCGAAUCAAAGCCUUUCAAGCACUAAGACUUAAUAUUAAAUUAGCCUUUCGAUGGAGAAAGGAAAAGAAUAAUGCAAAGCAUUCGUUGCUUAAUCGUGCCAUUUCCGAUCCAAGUUCACAUAAAUCCUAUGCUCUAAUUCGUAAAGCAUUUGAGGCAUAAAGGAACAUUUGUUCUAGGCUACGCAUGAAUAUUCUAGUUUUAUUUCUGUCCAAACAAUUUCUGAAUUCGAUGGGGGAGGGACUGUUGCGGCAGAGAGCUCAGAAGCAUAUUUGGAUCAUUUUCGUCAAGCUGGGACAGAAACUGUGGAAGAACUUAUCGAAAGGCUUUAAAGCUCUAGCUGCCCCUACGAUACAUUUCUUCCAUGGCAUCUUGAUUUAGCUAAGAAAUUGGGAUUGGUUGGUGCUGCUUUUUUCACACAAUCUAUUGGGAAUGGUUGUUAAUCAGUUCCAGAAAAUAUUGAAAAAAGCGGACUGGCUACUUGCCAACAUCUUCCACAAAAAUGGAGGAAGAUGUUAAAUUAAUUGAACAUCAUUUUCAAGAAUUUGUUUCAAGGAAAAAUCUCCCUGUCCGUCCAGGGCCACAAUGGCGCCCCUGUCCGUCCAAGGCCCAUAUGGCCCUAGACAUAUGGCAGGUCCGUUGUUUCAAUAUGCAUACGCCUCUAUUUUCUAACAUUGUUUCCCAAACAUACAAAAAGAAGUUGGGACCCACACACGAGGACUUAAAUGAAAUAAACAAGAUUAUCUUUCUUUUUCUUUUUUUCCAAUUACUGUCCAAUAUACAAACUCGUUUUUAGUGAUGGAGUAUUUAUAAAUGAAAAGAAAUGAUAAAAAAGACGUUGGAUACUUUGCACCAAAAUGGUACAAAGUAUAGUAUUACAUUAGAGUUAUUUUGCACCAAAAAAUGAUGGAUUUUUAUUUUUUGGGAGAUGCAUCGAAGAUGGCCUUAUUGCAAACACACCUACCUCCUGGAAAAGAAAAGCACGUGAUAGAGGGGCCUUAAACUACCAAAUGGUUCAAAUCCAAGAGUUCUGUUGUCAAGAACCCAACUAUAGACUAUAGAGCUUGUUUGACUAAGCAAAAAAUUAAGGGUUAUUUUGCUUGUACAGCUUGCUUACAGUCCCCUCACGUGACGGAGAUAUUCGUGAUGGGACUGUCCACUCAAAAAUUGAUAUUUAAGUUACUAUAAAUUAUUUUCUUCCCAAAACAGCUUUGGCUUCUCUAAAAUUUUGAAAAGUAGUGUUCGUACUUAGUGUAUAAUACUGACCCCGACAUUUAAUACAUUAUCUGAAGGGACACGAGGAAAUCUCAAUUUCAAUUGCACCACAUAUUUUCUGUGUAUUCUGUCUAUAUAAAGAACACUAUAACUCUGGAGUAAAUUAGGGUCAGAAUGGAGAAAGGAGAAGAAGAAUGCAAAGCUCAUUGCUACACUCAUUUUUAUCAAAAUGCAUUUUUCUCUCUCUUCUUUUCAACCACACAUUCUUUAUUAAAAUAAUAUUAUACGUAAAUCAAAAAAAAUUUCUUAUUUUUCAACCACACAUUUCCCAUCAAUUUACUAUUCAAAAAUGCAUUUUCACAUAAAAAUUCCUACCAAACACCCUCUUAGUCUUACUUUAAAAAAAAGAGUAAGCAAAAAAAUAAAUACUUGACACUCGAAUGGACAUAUCCGUGAUUUAGAGCAAACAAAUUUAACGCGUAGAAAUAAAUUAUUAUAAAAUUGACAAGCUUGUUUCGGACAUUAAUUACAGUAUGCAAUUUGACUUAAUUAGAAUGAGAGUCACUUUGGUGGUAACAUUUGAAACGACUACUUGAUAAGGUUGUGGGGCGUAUGGUUGGAAGUUUCGCAAUCAAUAAGAAACAAAGUUUGACACGGAUGUGUUAAAAAUAAAAUGUUUGUGUUGGGAAUUGAUGCUUAUGCGUUCUAGCUGUGAGCACACAGCUCGGAUGACAGCCCCCCUCAUAUAUGGGGGGUCCACAAAUUUUUUAUUGAAUGCCCCCCACAUGUGGGGGGCUGUAUAUAUACAGUCCAACUCAGUUCUUAUGUAUUUUUGCAAAUAUGCGUAAUGAAAAAAGAAGGAAAGUUUUUGUAUUUACGUGUAAUAUUAUUAUAUUGAAAAAUAUGUGGCUAAAAGAUGAAAGAGAAAAAUACAUUUUAAAUAAAAUGGAGCCAAAUAGGGGGUAAGUUAAACAUCUCUAACAAAGCUUGAACCGUGAGUUUAUAAAUACUUGGACAAUCUCUCCUUAUAAGUCGAUUCAACAAUAUUUGAUGCUAGAGCAAAACCCUUCUGCGACGACCCUCCGCGCACAAGAUGACUUUGAGGAGAGGAUAAAAUCUUGUAAUUGGGAAGGAAAAACACAACGCUAACACGUUUACAUACAGAAAUGUCACAGGAUUUGUCUUUAAAUACUUGCACAGGCAUCCCAUAGAAAUGAUAAGGGAAAAAUGGAGAAAGGAAAAGAAAAUCACAUAGCUCACUGUUUAAUCUUGCCAUAUCCAAGUCAGGGACACAUAAAUCCUAUGCUCCAAUUCGCUAAACGCUUGAGGCAUAAACAAGUCAAAAUCACUUUAGUCGUAACAAAAUUCUUGCGCAAAACCGUGCAAGAAUUUCCAGGUUCCUCAGAUAUUUCCCUUGAAACAAUCUCUGAUGGAUUUGAUGAAGGGGGGAGGGCUAAGGUUGAGAGUUCAGAAGCAUACCUGACUCGGUUUCGUCUGGUCGGAACAGAAACUUUAUCAGAACUUGUGGAAAAGCACAAAACAGAUUGUGCUGUAGAUUGUAUAAUAUAUGAUCCAUUUCUUUCAUGGGGUCUUGAUGUAGCCAAGAAAUUUGGAUUAGUUUCUGCUGCAUUUUUCACUCAAUCUUGU